GAUGAACGCUGGCGGCGUGCCUAAUACAUGCAAGUCGAGCGAACAGACGAGGAGCUUGCUCCUCUGACGUUAGCGGCGGACGGGUGAGUAACACGUGGAUAACCUACCUAUAAGGCUGGGAUAACUUCGGGAAACCGGAGCUAAUACCGGAUAAUAUAUUGAACCGCAUGGUUCAAUAGUGAAAGACGGUUUUGCUGUCACUUAUAGAUGGAUCCGCGCCGCAUUAGCUAGUUGGUAAGGUAACGGCUUACCAAGGCAACGAUGCGUAGCCGACCUGAGAGGGUGAUCGGCCACACUGGAACUGAGACACGGUCCAGACUCCUACGGGAGGCAGCAGUAGGGAAUCUUCCGCAAUGGGCGAAAGCCCGACGGAGCAACGCCGCGUGAGUGAUGAAGGUCUUCGGAUCGUAAAACUCUGUUAUUAGGGAAGAACAAAUGUGUAAGUAACUAUGCACGUCUUGACGGUACCUAAUCAGAAAGCCACGGCUAACUACGUG
rnacentral:rRNA from 1 species